UCCAGAGUAGGCUAACGAGUAGGCCGGCGAGCUGUUAAUUCGUGUCGGUGAAGGUGCGAAUCCUUCCUCUGGAGCCA
rnacentral:tRNA from 1 species